UAUGAGGUGCUGAAGAUGGAACCAG
rnacentral:piRNA from 1 species